GCUGGGCAUGGUGGCGUGUGCCUGUAGUCCCAGCUACUCAGGAGGCUGAGGCAGGAGAAUCGCUUGAGCCUGGGAGGUGGAAGUUGCAGUGAGCCAAGAUCAUGCCACUGCACUCCAGCCUGGGUGACAGAGUGAGACCCUGUCUCAA
rnacentral:SRP_RNA from 2 species